rnacentral:rRNA from 1 species
AUGGUCUCCCACAGCCACAGGAGGAUGCAGAGUUGGUGGCUUCCUGUGAUUACGAGACGGGCACCGAAUGGGGCGAGGAGGUGGGCUUCUUGUACCAGUCGGUGGUGGAGGACUACUUCACCGGCUACCGGCAGCUCUACUGCCCAGGGUGGACGUCCGUCUACUGCUUCCCGGCGACGGGGACGAGGCCGCCGUUCCUCGGCAGCGUGCCCACCAACCUCAACGACGCGCUGGUGCAGAACAAGCGGUGGAUGUCCGGCAUGCUCGCCGUCGGCCUGUCCAGGCACUGCCCCCUCGCCUCCGCCGCCGCCGUCUCCGUGCCCCAGAGCAUGGGCUUCGCCUACUACGCCUUCAUGGCCCUGUACGCCUUCCCCGUGCUCUGCUACGCCACCGUGCCGCAGCUCUGCUUCCUCCGCGGCGGCACGUCGUUCCCCGGGGAGUCGGCGCUCUGGUUCGCCGCCGUGCUCGCGUCGUCGUCGCUGCAGCACCUGGUGGAGGUGUCGUUUGCCAAGCGUGGGCUGGCGGCGAGGGCGUGGUGGAACGAGCAGAGGUUCUGGGCGCUCAACGCCGUCACGGGCCAGCUCUUCGCCUGCGUCAGCGUCGCCCUCAGCCUGGUCGGCGCCGGGGGCCGGGCGGUGGACUUCGACCUCACCAGCAAGGCGUCCGACGACCGGCUGUACCGGGACAGCGUGUUCGACUUCGCCGGGUGCUCGGCGCUGCUCCUGCCGGCCACCACGCUCUGCCUGCUCAACACCGCGGCGCUCGUCGGCGGGGUCUGGAAGAUGGUCGGCAGGGGCGGCAGCGUGUCCGGCGAGCUGUUCCUCCUCUGCUACGUCGCGGCACUGA